CCGCAGCAGAGGUAGUAGAAGCAGAUAUCCGCGGAAAUGAGUCAAAAUGAAUUUGUCGUGUUGCUGCUCAAAGGCCAGGCUCCAUCCCAAUCAGCGAGAGUUACCCAACUCCUCCCAUGUGAAGAUGGGCUUUGGCUCCUUCUUUGAGUGCAUUCCAGGAGAAGGAGACACUGCUGUUCUCGUAGCCCAGCUCUGCACCCUCAAAGACGUCACAGCUAAAUCCAUGUGAUAUGACUGCCAGCCUCAGUCCUAUGUUAACAGCAGCAAACUCAUUCUCAACUCAGCAGGUGAUCCUUAAACAUGAACUUUAAAGCUGCAUGGGUGGACUGAUUGGUGUCAGAGCUGGCCAAGUGCAGCAUUUCUCUGCUUGGACGAUAGCCUGGUGAGAUACCAUGGGAGGGCUAUUAAGAAUUCUGGAUAGUAAAGGUUUGGCUACAAAUUCCUGUGUAAACCAAGACUCAUAUUCAUCAGAGUUGUUCCCUGUUAGGCUAUUCUCAUUGGGGUGAGACUGGAGCAAAUGGAGAAAGGAGCAAAAGUUGCACUAGGUGUAACCUGCUCCAGAAAAGGCCAUACACUUCAACAAAAGACAGACUUUGGCUCAUUUGCUUCCAAAUGCUACGUUCUGCUGCACAAGGAAUAGGCACCAUGACACAAAGGACUCCAAAGAGUGAUUCAAGCAGAUAGAAGGUGUCAGGAUAAGAGGCAGCUUGGGUUGGAUACAGAGCAGCCAGGGAGAGGAGAUGAAGAUUCAAAAAAACUGAACUCAGUUGCAGAUAAAAAAAAGAGUACACAAGCAAUUCCUUUGCCAAAUCUGACUUAACUACGUUGUCAUCUUUGAAAAAAAGAACCAGAAAAAAAAAAUCCAAAGGAGAUAACUGCACUUGUAAGGUACACCAAAGAUGCUGGUGCAAAGAUGAAUGUCGGGUGAGGGGUGCCAAGUUAUACAGACGAUGUUGUGGUCGAUACUGUCACAACAGACUUCCCUCCACUUAGCAGAUAUGAUGGGUUGCAUUGCCACAUUUGCAGUCAAGCCAAACAGCAUCAAACCAUUCUCUGGGAAGAGAAACUUUCAAAUGCAGGUGCUCUUACUCUCUCAGCCUUGACUCAUUGCAUUGAGGCCAAUGACUAAGAACAAUUCAUUCAGAAAUGAAGGUACCAAACCUUUCUUUCAGUUCUGCUGCUGCACUCCGGGGCUAUGCUUGGAAUAAAGCUUGAGAACUCAUUUUCACCAUCUUCUCUUCCUGAGCUUUGGGAUCCUCAUCGUUUCUCCGAAUGUCGGCCGAGCCCUCUGAGUAAUCACAAGGUGGCCCCCGGACAGUCGGGGGAGAGCACCCACACUGAGGGUCAGCCGGACCCCGAUUGCAUGCUGAUAUCCAGAGUGGCUCAAAUCCAUAUUAUGCACGGUGAAGGCAAAUUGAAUCUCCCCUGUCCUCUGGCCCCUGCUGGCACCUCCGCCCGCACCGCUGGCCUCUCCUGCGUUUGUGGUUGCCCUGUACCAAGGCGCACGCAUUGGGGGAUGAGGAGCAAAGGAAUAAUGAGGGCUGAAAUCCUGGUGAAACCUGGUGCCAAAACAGCUGGACAACUCCAGCCCAGCACUCCGGCAAAGCACGCUUCUCUGGGAGGAUUUUCGGUUCCUGCCGGAGGCCUGGGAAGGACGGGGACCCUCACCUCCAUCCGACUCCAGCACUCACUGAAGAACGGUAAUCCUGAGCUGCUAAAGGUGGAAAAGUCCAGAAGAAAGAUGUGGCACUCAAAUACCCCAAGGUACCAGACCUGCCUAGCAUGCACCUGCUCCAAGCAGCUUCCCUUUCUUGUCUCCAUGUGUCCUGUUGUCUUCACCACCUCCAAGGAAUGAUUGCACGUGAGGAGUGCAGGGAUCUCUGCUGGGAAGAAGGAUCUGCUUUGUGAAGUCUCAGCCUUUUUUUCCUCAUUAGAGGUCAUUUAUUUCAUGCCAGGACAGUUGGAUUGUCGUGGUACUUUCUCAGGGGUGUAAACUAGAUCAUUGCACUUACCUCAUCUUAGAAAUUUUCACGUCACUUUAUCAUCCUUAAGAGCACUUAAAAGCUCACAGGCCCUGGUUUUGGGUCUUCUGUAACAGAUCUUAGAUCCAUUGAAUUACAAUAGCACGAAAGGCUUUGGGGCAAAAGAUGGAGUGGAAAAUGUGAUAGCUGUUCUGUGAUUAAAAAACCAAAAACAAAUAGCAGAGACUGUUCUUUCUACACAGGGGGUUUCAUGUAUAGGAGUUUACUAACUCAGUUAAAAAUAAACCAACCCCAAACUGACUGACAUGAAAAGUCAGUUAAAAAAAAAAAAAGAGAGCUUAUAAACUGUAGGAAACAAAAUGAUUUUUGGAAACAUAUUUUCCCUUAAUUGGACAUCUAUUUCUAGAUGGAGUCAUUUGUGUAUGGAAUCCAGCCGUAUGGCUUUUGUUUGACAGCGAGAUGAUCAGUUCCUCAAAGUGUGAACGUCACGUGGAGAACCCCAUCAGUGCCUUAAAAAGGAUUCCUGCCCUAGCAGGGCUUUGUCAGCAAUGUCAGAGGGUGCGGAAUCAAGCUGUGUUGUAAUCCCUAAUUGUAUGUCAUCACAUAAUGGCCUUUUAAUGGUAGUGAUGGCUUUGUGGGUUGUAGUUAGAGCCCCAAGGAGGGGUGGACUCCCAUGUGCUGGGUGCUGCAAAGGGCAGGUAUAGCACAGAGGCUGUUGGUUUUACAGGCCUUACAGGAAAGGCAAGUUGAUGUGGAUCUGGGUAUAGGCAGGACAGGCAGCUGCCUUAAGCAGCAGUCUGCUGGAUAGACAUAAGGCAGCCCUGCUCCUGCAGCUGACCUUGCCUCUGCCAGGACCCUUGAGGAGGGCUGGGGCUCCUGACAGACUUUGGUGGUGGUGGGGUGAUGACUAAUGCUGGGAAGAGGAGCCACCACCCCCAGUACUUUCUUUCCUCCAAAUGACUGCAGGAGCAUCUACCCCUACUCUUAAGAGCUCUGCCAGUCCUCCAUCUCCUUUUACAUUCUCUCUUCUUAACUCUUCCCUUACCACAGCAAAAUUGACCUGUCCAGGCUCCUCAUCCCGCAGAUGUCAAAGCUCAUGAGACUCUAGUGAUCGGGCUCUUUUAAAAGCCUAGUCCAACCAGAUCGCAAGCCUCCCCGAUCCCCUUCCUCUGCUCUGAUCUCACUGCCAUCAGUGGAAGUCGUGGGUGCUCGGCAUCAGGCAUGCCCACUGUUGUUUGACUUCCAGAGACCUACAUGUAGAAAUGUACUGCUGUUUCUCUGCAGUACCUUCCAAAAGGAAACUUGCAUUUAUUACCUUGGCAAUGAGCCACCCAGCAUGGAACAAACUGUUUUGUGACAGAAAAGAUGAGACAUUCUGCUGUGGACCAGCCAAAAGCAAUGCCACUGAUCUUCCCUAUGCCAUCCUCUAACACCCCCCUGGUUGUGUUUAACAAGGCUGCGUUUCCCUGAGGCACGUGUUUCUCCAGAAGAGAGAGAGUGAAAGCAGAGGUUAUGCUGUGCAUCCACCCAAGGGUCCCUGAGCAAAAACCUUUCUGCAGCACACUACUCUUUAGCACACAGGUCACUGUUGACGCUUGGCCGGCGAGCAAAGGGAGAGAUCAUGCCAUAGGCAUCCAUGUCCUUGACUCGGCGCAUCCGGAAGGAUUUCUGUUGGAAAGUGUCACCAUACUGG